rnacentral:tRNA from 1 species
GCCCAGGUGUUGAAACUGGUAGACAAGCAGGACUUAGAAUCCUGUGCCCUUAGGGCGUGUGGGUUCGAAUCCCACCCUGGGCACCA